GUGCUCACUUCAGCAGCAUGUAUACUAAAAUUGGAACGAUACAGAGAUUAGCAUGUCAACUGCAUAAGAAUGAUACAUGAAUUUGGGAAAAGUUCCAUAUUAAA
ensembl:snRNA U6 U6 spliceosomal RNA